CAUUAGAUGAAUUAAGAAAAUAGUUUAAUCAUUAGAUGACUGAAAGCAA
rnacentral:tRNA from 1 species